AUCUCUCCACCUGCUGCCCUUCCAUUUCUCUUUCUCUCUUGUUUUUCAUUACACCCAUUCUUUCCUUCUGAAUGGAUAGUUGUUCAUCUAUAAUUUCCUGUCCCUCUUGCAAACUCUCUCUUUUCUUUCUCACCACAUUCUGCUUAAUUUCUUCGAGCCAGUCCAUUCCCUCAUCUCCCAGGUUCUGUACCUCUUUAAUUCCCUGUUUAUUCACCUCUGUCAUUAUUUGAUCUUCAGCAUCUUUCUUUCUCGCUGCAUUUCUUCUUCUUGGGCUCAGCACCAUACAUUUGUUGUUUUCUGUCUGCUCUCCUUGAUCGAUAUGUUUCCCCAGCUCUUGUCUACUCUCCUCUCUGCUUCGCUGAUGUUUCCUCCUAAUCUCACUCCAUUUGUCCUCUCUUUUCGUUAGGCCCAUAUCUCCAAGCCAGUCAUCCUCCAGUUGCUCAUGUUUUCGUUCAGUUGCUGUCUUUCCUUCCAUUAGCUUACUUGUACUUUGAUUUAUUUCACCCUCAAUUGUUAUAUUACUUCCUGAAUCCACAAUUUUCUUCUCUUUUAGCUUGAAUUCUCUCAACCAUUCCAUCCCUUGGAUUGGUUUGUCCUUUUCUUCCACUGGUUUAACCACAGACUGUUCUGCUCUUUCUUUUGAGGUAUUCUGCAGAAAAAGCUGUUCCUCUUGCUGAGUGAUAUCUAUGUCUUUCUCUUCUUUUUGUCUCAUUUCUCUCAACCAGUCCAUCCCUUUGAUAGUUGGCUUCCUCUGUUGUGCUAUUGCUGUUUUCUCUUCUUCCUCAGUAUCUUUUUCUCUUUGCUCCUUUUCUUCAAGCCAGUCAUCCAGCAAUUCAUCUUUCUCCAUCUGUCUUGUAGCUUCUGUUUGGUCUUCCCCCCUUUGCCUCCUACUUGGGAUUAUUCUCUUUUUAUUGUUUGUUUCUGUGCCAAUACCUCCUAGCCAGUCAUCCAGUUGUCCACAUCUCUCCACCUGCUGCCCUUCCAUUUCUCUUUCUCUCUUGUUGUUCAUUACACCCAUUCUUUCCUUCUGAAUGGAUAGUUGUUCAUCUAUAAUUUGCUGUCCCUCUUGCAAACUCUCUCUCUUCUUUCUCACCACAUUCUGCUUAAUUUCUUCGAGCCAGUCCAUUCCCUCAUUUUCCAGGUUCUUAACCUCAUUAAUUCCCUGUUUAUUCACCUCUGUCAUUAUUUGAUCUUCAGCAUCUUUCUUUCUCGCUGCAUUUCUUCUUCUUGGGCUCAGCACCAUACAUUUGUUGUUUUCUGUCUGCUCUCCUUGAUCGAUAUGUUUCCCCAGCUCUUGUCUACUCUCCUCUCUGCUUCGCUGAUGUUUCUUCCCAAUCUCACUCCAUUUGUCCUCUCUUUUCGUUAGGCCCAUAUCUCCAAGCCAGUCAUCCUCCAGUUGCUCAUGUUUUCGUUCAGUUGCUGUCUUUCCUUCCAUUAGCUUACUUGUACUUUGAUUUAUUUCACCCUCAAUUGUUAUAUUACUUCCUGAAUCCACAAUUUUCUUCUCUUUUAGCUUGAAUUCUCUCAACCAUUCCAUCCCUUGGAUUGGUUUGUCCUUUUCUUCCACUGGUCUAACCACAGACUCUUCUGCUCUUUCUUUUGAGGUAUUCUGCAGAAAAAGCUGUU
ensembl:lncRNA